CCUACGGGAGGCUGCAGUGAGGAAUAUUGGUCAAUGGGCUUACGCCUGAACCAGCCAAGUCGCGUGAGGGAAGACUGCCCUAUGGGUUGUAAACCUCUUUUGUCAGGGAGCAACGCCGGCUACGUGUAGCCGGACUGAGAGUACCUGAAGAAAAAGCAUCGGCUAACUCCGUGCCAGCAGACGCGGUAAUACGGAGGAUGCGAGCGUUAUCCGGAUUGAUUGGGUUUAAAGGGUGCGUAGGCGGAAUGCCAAGUCAGCGGUAAAAUCGCGGGGCUCAACCUCGCUCCGCCGUUGAAACUGGCGUUCUUGAGUGGGCGAGAAGUAUGCGGAAUGCGUGGUGUAGCGGUGAAAUGCAUAGAUAUCACGCAGAACUCCGAUUGCGAAGGCAGCAUACCGGCGCCCAACUGACGCUGAAGCACGAAAGCGUGGGUAUCGAACAGGAUUAGAUACCCCAGUAGUC
rnacentral:rRNA from 1 species